UUGCUCGUGUUCUUCGGCUGGUGGUGCAAUAUCUGUUGUGAACAGGUCAAUAUUGUCUCAAUAUCAUACACAAAACCUUGUGUAAGAUCUGUUGAAAGCUGGCAACACAUAUUCCCAAACAGCUGUAGAGAGAUUGUGAUGCUUUGUGAUGAGGUAGCUUGGAACGUUAUCCCAAUGCGAACAUCAUUUCAUUGCUAUUCAAUUGUUCCUGGAGUGGCACACAGCAGACGACAUGUCGAUCCCGCUCUGGGGUAUCCCAGAGCUGCAGAAUCUUUUGCUGAUAAAAGGAUAACAUGAUUGGCCGUGAUUGGAGUCAAUGAUUAAUAUCUCCGAGUCGGGUGGUGCUUAGCCCGCAUGUCAAAUGUCUCUCUAUUGGCUCCGCUAUUCUUAUCCGAGAUAG
rnacentral:sRNA from 1 species